rnacentral:misc_RNA from 1 species
UCUCCGUUGGUGAACCAGCGGAGGGAUCAUUACCGAGUUUACAACCUCCAAACCCCUAUGUGAACGUUACCAACCUGUUGCCUCGGCGGGAAAUUCAUGCCCCGGGCGCGUCGCAGCCCCGGACCAAGGCGACCGCCGGAGGACCAACCAAAACUCUGUAGUAUGGCCGACGCGAACUUCUCUAAUUCUGAACUAUCUCGUCGCCCCUAGCAAGCGAUUCGAAAAUGAAUCAAAACUUUCAACAACGGAUCUCUUGGUUCUG